rnacentral:rRNA from 1 species
CCUACGGGGGGCUGCAGUGGGGAAUAUUUGACAAUGGGGGCAACCCUGAUCCAGCCAUGCCGCGUGUGUGAAGAAGGCCCUCGGGUUGUAAAGCACUUUCAGUGAGGAAGAACGCCUGGUGGUUAAUACCCAUCAGGAAAGACAUCACUCACAGAAGAAGCACCGGCUAACUCCGUGCCAGCAGCCGCGGUAAUACGGAGGGUGCGAGCGUUAAUCGGAAUUACUGGGCGUAAAGCGCGCGUAGGUGGCUUGAUAAGCCGGUUGUGAAAGCCCCGGGCUCAACCUGGGAACGGCAUCCGGAACUGUCAAGCUAGAGUGCAGGAGAGGAAGGUAGAAUUCCCGGUGUAGCGGUGAAAUGCGUAGAGAUCGGGAGGAAUACCAGUGGCGAAGGCGGCCUUCUGGACUGACACUGACACUGAGGUGCGAAAGCGUGGGUAGCAAACAGGAUUAGAUACCCGUGUAGUC